AUUAGCAUGGCUUAGUGGUUUGAGCAUUGGUCUACGACUCUGGAGACAAAGGUUCGAUUCCCACUCGAUCAUA